AUUGAACGCUGGCGGCAUGCCUUACACAUGCAAGUCGAACGGCAGCACGGGAGCAAUCCUGGUGGCGAGUGGCGAACGGGUGAGUAAUAUAUCGGAACGUGCCCGGUCGUGGGGGAUAACGUAGCGAAAGCUACGCUAAUACCGCAUACGAUCUACGGAUGAAAGCGGGGGAUCGCAAGACCUCGCGCGAUUGGAGCGGCCGAUAUCAGAUUAGGUAGUUGGUGAGGUAAAGGCUCACCAAGCCGACGAUCUGUAGCUGGUCUGAGAGGACGACCAGCCACACUGGGACUGAGACACGGCCCAGACUCCUACGGGAGGCAGCAGUGGGGAAUUUUGGACAAUGGGCGCAAGCCUGAUCCAGCAAUGCGCGUGCAGGAUGAAGG
rnacentral:rRNA from 1 species